GCAGUGAUGGUUCAGUGGAAGAAUUCUUCCCUUCCAUGCAAGAGACCCAGGUUCGAUUCUUGGCCAAGGCA
rnacentral:tRNA from 1 species